GAUGAACGCUGGCGGCGUGCUUAACACAUGCAAGUCGAACGGAAAGGCUCCUGCUUGCAGGGGUACUCGAGUGGCGAACGGGUGAGUAACACGUGGGUGAUCUGCCCUGCACUUCGGGAUAAGCCUGGGAAACUGGGUCUAAUACCGGAUAGGACGAUGGUUUGGAUGCCAUUGUGGAAAGUUUUUCGGUGUGGGAUGAGCUCGCGGCCUAUCAGCUUGUUGGUGGGGUAAUGGCCUACUAAGGCGUCGACGGGUAGCCGGCCUGAGAGGGUGUACGGCCACAUUGGGACUGAGAUACGGCCCAGACUCCUACGGGAGGCAGCAGUGGGGAAUAUUGCACAAUGGGCGCAAGCCUGAUGCAGCGACGCCGCGUGGGGGAUGACGGCCUUCGGGUUGUAAACUCCUUUCGCUAGGGACGAAGCGCAAGUGACGGUACCUGGAGAAGAAGCACCGGCUAACUACGUG
rnacentral:rRNA from 1 species